UCACCACGCUUAUCCUCGGAGGACACAACAAGCGGGCAGAGCAGCUGGCACGUGACUUUCGCAUCCCUGACAAGAGGCUCUGGUGGUUAAAGCUGUCUGCCCUGGCAGAUCUGGAAGAGUGGGAGGAGCUGGAGAAGUUUUCUAAGAGCAAGAAAUCACCAAUUGGCUACCUGGUGAGACAGGGCUCCUCCCUAGGCCUCCCACUAGUGAGAGUGGUCCUGGGAAGGAGCCAGGCAAGGGAGAUGGGGUGAUGGCCUGUUUGUGCACCCAUUUCACUGUCCUGUGUUCUUAGGUAGUGCUUCUUGUGCCAUGUGACUAUGGGCAGACACAUGUACUAUGUGGGGAACGCUGGAGGAUAGGCACAAGCCUGCCUCCUACCUAGUGGUGGAAGAGUUACUUUACCCUGUAAAGACUACAGGGGCCACUGUGUGCUUGAGGGCAGAAGGGGCAGGGAGAGCCAAGAUAUUGAGGGGUUGCUUCAGACAUAUGGAGGGCAAGUUUCAUAGUGGCAGCCUGAGAGAAAGGACACAGGAAGCAGAAACACCUACCUUGGUGGUGGGAAUGGAAGUAGAAUAGAACCCUAAAGAUGACUCUUCUGAAGGCUCCGGUAGGUCAUUGGUUUAGCUGCUUUCUGUUACAGUGGUAUGCUCCAUCUUGUUUUCCACAG
rnacentral:lncRNA from 1 species